GAGCUUGCUCUGUGGGAUCAGUGGCGAACGGGUGGGUAACACGUGAGCAACCUGCCCCUGACUCUGGGAUAAGCGCUGGAAACGGCGUCUAAUACUGGAUAUGUGACGUGACCGCAUGGUCUGCGUUUGGAAAGAUUUUUCGGUUGGGGAUGGGCUCGCGGCCUAUCAGCUUGUUGGUGAGGUAAUGGCUCACCAAGGCGUCGACGGGUAGCCGGCCUGAGAGGGUGACCGGCCACACUGGGACUGAGACACGGCCCAGACUCCUACGGGAGGCAGCAGUGGGGAAUAUUGCACAAUGGGCGAAAGCCUGAUGCAGCAACGCCGCGUGAGGGAUGACGGCCUUCGGGUUGUAAACCUCUUUUAGCAGGGAAGAAGCGAAAGUGACGGUACCUGCAGAAAAAGCGCCGGCUAACUACGUGCCAGCAGCCGCGGUAAUACGUAGGGCGCAAGCGUUAUCCGGAAUUAUUGGGCGUAAAGAGCUCGUAGGCGGUUUGUCGCGUCUGCUGUGAAAUCCCGAGGCUCAACCUCGGGCCUGCAGUGGGUACGGGCAGACUAGAGUGCGGUAGGGGAGAUUGGGAUUCCUGGUGUAGCGGUGGAAUGCGCAGAUAUCAGGAGGAACACCGAUGGCGAAGGCAGAUCUCUGGGCCGUAACUGACGCUGAGGAGCGAAAGGGUGGGGAGCAAACAGGCUUAGAUACCCUGGUAGUCCACCCCGUAAACGUUGGGAACUAGUUGUGGGGUCCAUUCCACGGAUUCCGUGACGCAGCUAACGCAUUAAGUUCCCCGCCUGGGGAGUACGGCCGCAAGGCUAAAACUCAAAGGAAUUGACGGGGACCCGCACAAGCGGCGGAGCAUGCGGAUUAAUUCGAUGCAACGCGAAGAACCUUACCAAGGCUUGACAUAUACGAGAACGGGCCAGAAAUGGUCAACUCUUUGGACACUCGUAAACAGGUGGUGCAUGGUUGUCGUCAGCUCGUGUCGUGAGAUGUUGGGUUAAGUCCCGCAACGAGCGCAACCCUCGUUCUAUGUUGCCAGCACGUAAUGGUGGGAACUCAUGGGAUACUGCCGGGGUCAACUCGGAGGAAGGUGGGGAUGACGUCAAAUCAUCAUGCCCCUUAUGUCUUGGGCUUCACGCAUGCUACAAUGGCCGGUACAAAGGGCUGCAAUACCGUGAGGUGGAGCGAAUCCCAAAAAGCCGGUCCCAGUUCGGAUUGAGGUCUGCAACUCGACCUCAUGAAGUCGGAGUCGCUAGUAAUCGCAGAUCAGCAACGCUGCGGUGAAUACGUUCCCGGGUCUUGUACACACCGCCC
rnacentral:rRNA from 1 species